GACGAACGCUGGCGGCGUGCUUAACACAUGCAAGUCGAACGGAAAGGCCUGCUUUCCCUUGUGGAUUGCGGGUACUCGAGUGGCGAACGGGUGAGUAACACGUGAGUGAUCUGCCCCCAACUUGAGUAUAAGCCUGGGAAACUGGGUCUAAUUCCCGAUAGGACUGCAGGGUGGUGCCUGUGGUGGAAAACGAUUUUCUAGUGGUUGGGGAUGAGCUCGCGGCCUAUCAGCUUGUUGGUGGGGUAAUGGCCUACCAAGGCGGCGACGGGUAGCCGGCCUGAGAGGGUGGACGGCCACAUUGGGACUGAGAUACGGCCCAGACUCCUACGGGAGGCAGCAGUGGGGAAGAUUGCACAAUGGGCGGAAGCCUGAUGCAGCGACGCCGCGUGGGGGAUGACGGCCUUCGGGUUGUAAACUCCUUUCGACCGAGAGGAAGCCACCUGGUUGGAAGGGUGGUGACGGUAGUGGUAGAAGAAGCACCGGCUAACUACGUG
rnacentral:rRNA from 1 species